UACGUAGGGUCCGAGCGUUGUCCGGAAUUAUUGGGCGUAAAGGGCUCGUAGGCGGUUUGUUACGUCGGGAGUGAAAACUCAGGGCUCAACCCUGAGCGUGCUUUCGAUACGGGCAGACUAGAGGUAUUCAGGGGAGAACGGAAUUCCUGGUGUAGCGGUGGAAUGCGCAGAUAUCAGGAGGAACACCGGUGGCGAAGGCGGUUCUCUGGGAAUUACCUGACGCUGGAGGAGCGAAAGCAUGGGGGGCGAACAGG
rnacentral:rRNA from 1 species